rnacentral:tRNA from 1 species
AGGAUUAUAGUUAAUAAUAACAUUUAAUUUGCAUUUAAAAAGUAUUGGAAAUGACCAAUUUAUCUUA